rnacentral:rRNA from 1 species
UAUUGGUCAAUGGACGAGAGUCUGAACCAGCCAAGUCGCGUGAAGGAUGACUGCCCUACGGGUUGUAAACUUCUUUUGUAUGGGAGUAAAAAAGGUUACGUGUAACCUAUUGCAAGUACCAUACGAAUAAGCAUCGGCUAACUCCGUGCCAGCAGCCGCGGUAAUACGGAGGAUGCGAGCGUUAUCCGGAUUUAUUGGGUUUAAAGGGUGCGUAGGCGGGAUUAUAAGUCAGCGGUGAAAGUUUGAGGCUCAACCUUAAAAUUGCCGUUGAAACUGUUUUUCUUGAGUAUAUUUGAAGUAGGCGGAAUUCGUGGUGUAGCGGUGAAAUGCAUAGAUAUCACGAAGAACUCCAAUUGCGAAGGCAGCUUACUAAACUAUAACUGACGCUGAAGCACGAAAGCGUGGGUAUCAAACAG